GCCAUAUACACCCCCACCUUGUCAUAAUAAAAAGAAAAGGUUUUUUUUACAGUAAGAACAAUAAGGAUAUGGGAUUCUCUGCCUGAAGAGAUGGUUUUGUCAGAGUUCAUACAGAUGUUUAAACUGAAAUUGGAUAAAUAGUUACAAAAACAUAACAUACAGGGAUAUAAUUUCUAAUUAGUGUGGUAAUAGCUGCUUGAUCCAAGGAGACAUCUGACUGCUAUUUUGGGGUCAAGAAGGAAUUUUUUCCUAGUUUGUGGCAAAAUUGGAAGCGCUUCAGACCAGGUUUUUUGCCUUGUUUGGG